UCCUAUCUCAGUUGUAAACACUGCCUGGCU
rnacentral:piRNA from 1 species